CAAAUGACAUAGCUUUAGUGAAAACUGAUAGCAUUCAACUUCCAUUUUACGCGAAACUCAGCUCAGUCGACUAUACCACUCUCGUUGGACAAGAAGCGAUACUCUUAGGUUAUGGGAGAACGCAUACUUUAUAUGAAAAGGAUCCAGAAACUAACAGAACUUUAAAAAUGAUGGAUGUUAUGUUGAUGACAUGUAAACGUACUUCGUUUUCAAACAUACAUAUAAGUAUAUGUACAGUGCCUAAGUGCGGGGUAACAGAGUUCCUGUGUCCAGGAGAUUCAGGAGGCACAGUUUUGCAUAGUUCGGGAGUUAUUGGUGUCCAUUCUGCCAGUUUAAGGUGUUUCAUACAAAAGAAUAACCCGGUUUUUGGAAGAUUUAACUAUGCGGGUUUAGAUAUACCAGUCAGCCCACAUUUAGAUUGGCUCAGAAGUGAAAUUACAAGAGAUUAAUUUUAUGUUACAUAAAAGGACACAAUUUGUUUUUCUCGUUUUUCUUAUUUCACAACGGUUAUACGAAAGAUUUAAGUUACACUUUCACUUAUAUAAACUACCCGUAGUUGGUCAUUUUAAUUUAGCUAAGUAAUACAAUUGACGAUACCUUUUGAGUGAUAAGUGAUGAAAGGUAUCUGCUCGUCGUGAUCGUCUAGUGGUGAUGGAUCGUCCACCCUACGUUGUGGCCGUAGUAACCCAGGUUCGUAGUAACCCUGGUCAAGGCAACGAUAGCUGUUAUGGCGGAGUAUUUUUUUUAA